UCGAACAAGGAGGGAGGACUCGUGUCGCUGGCCCUGGAGUGAUUUCUGGGCAUGUUGCACCGGUCCUUCUUCCCUUUCACACACACACACACUUGUGCACACAUUUGUAGGUCCUCGAGAGAGGAUCUAUGUCUUUCACCAUCCCAACCAACGUAUGUCUAGAAUGUCAAUUAAUAAAUUA
rnacentral:misc_RNA from 1 species